UUGUAAAAGAAAUACACCCAAAAUUCAUCACCAUUUCCUCUCCUUCUUCACGCCAUUCUGGCGGGUGCAAGGGCUGCUGUUGACACCUUGUUCCUCUUCGAUUAUAGCUCUAAAUCUUGCAUGAAAUCACUUUCCUAGGCUUAUCAAGUUGUUCUCCAUACUGGGCAAAUGUUAUUUUUGAGGUAUCACAUCCAUAGCAUCAAAGAAAACAAAGAAAGAUUCAACUGUUUUGCAGGAUUAGAGGAAUGUUCAAGUUAGCUCUUGUGUGCAAUAUGAAGUCUUAGUCAAUGUGUUUAACCCACUGUCAUGAGAUGAAUUGUAGUAUAAAAUAAUUUUACAAGUCAAACAUGUAUUUGAUUUGUAAUCUAAGUACUCAAAACAUAUGGUAAUGACUAUUUUACUAUAA